CCCUGGGACUGUGCAUGUGACUUGCUUAUCUCUGAGACUACCUCAUAGGCAUAUCUCCAGGCAUACCUCCAUACACGUUGUCUCUGGACCUGCCUCUGGAUGACGGAUGAGAGUGGGUGGGAUCAACUUGUGGGGAGGGGGUCUAGCUGAAGGAUGUGGCAGCUCCCUCCUACUAGGGCACCCAUUUCCUGAGAAAUGAGUAUGUAACUUUGCUGACAAGGCUCGGACACUCUUGGGCUCCGUGAGAGUAUGUCAUGUCACUGAUUAUAUGCAUCUCUGAGACAGUGCAGGCACUUUUACAAGGCCCUUUACAUUCUUGUGAUAAGUACUGUCGUCCCUAGACCUCUGUUCGGCAGCGGCGGAAGGGGAGGAGGAACAGCAAGAGAGGUCAAAAGGGGCAGAGGUUCGACUAGGAAGACAGACAAGCGAGGCGCCAGCCGAAUUCCUGAAAGCCUUCCCAGGGAGGCAGGUAGCCAAGGAGGAGUGCAGAGUACCACGAACGCCGGCCCGCCGCGAAUUCCUGAAAGCCUUCCAAGGGACGCAGGUAGCCAAGGAGGAGUGUAGAGUACCACGAACGCCGGCCCGCCGUCAUUCAUUCUCCUCCGUCUCCCCAGCUCCGCUCGCCUCGCCGACUGCAGUGGAUCGUGCCGUCCACACUAAUCAGCCGCCGCUUCGACGGGCAGCGAUGGCCUUCCUCUCCCCAGACGCGAUGACGACAGCCGGCUCUCUGCCGGAGAAGCAGGGGUGACGUCAUGUCAGCGGCUCAGGAAUCCGCGGCUUGGACCUGCAGAGGGCCCUGCUGCCAGCUUCGCUUCCGAUUCCGAAGCCAGAUCUGCCCACCACCACCCCUUUUUUUCUUCUCCAUCUUGCUAUAGAGGUGACCCCUGGUUUCCUGCUGUUCUUCCUUCCUUGCCCGAUUCAAGGCUCAAGAGUUUUGUUAAAUCUUCCCUCACCCCAAGAUCUGCCUGUCUAGAACCCCACCAGAUUCAAGCCGCCUUGGGUUUCUUUUUAAGGAGAAAGACGGGAUCAAAAUAUAUUAAAUAAAUAAAUAAUAAAUACUCCA
rnacentral:lncRNA from 1 species